rnacentral:rRNA from 1 species
CACUCAAAAACUAGCCUACCCCCCAGCAAUUUAAGGGCCCCCCCCCUAACCCCCAAUACCCUGAACAAACCAAACAAAUCAUUUUUCCCCCCUAGUAUCGGCGACAGAAAAGGAACACAGAGCAAUAGAAAAAGUACCGCAAGGGAAUGUUGAAAAAGAAAUGAAAUAACCAAUUAAGUAUUAAAAAGCAGAGCCUCGGGCCUCGUACCUUUUGCAUCAUGAUUUAGCCAGUAAACCCAAGCAAAGGGCACUUUAGUUUGACCCCCCGAAACUAGGGCGAGCUACUCCAAGACAGCCUCCACAAGGGCAAACCCGUCUCUGUGGCAAAAGAGUGGGAAGAGCUUCCAGUAACGGUAACAUGCCUACCGAGCCUAGUAAUAGCUGGGUGCCUGAGAAAUGAAUAAAAGUUCAGCCUUUGGAAUCCUUCCCCAUACGACACCCCCCGCAUACCCCUGAAGCAUCCCCAAAGAGUUAGUUAAAGGGGGUACAGCUCCUUUAACCAGAAUACAACCCUACCAGAUGGGUAAGGAUCACACGCACCAAGGGGCGAGCAUACGUGGGCCUAUAAGCAGCCACCCAAAAAGAAAGCGUCACAGCUCAAACAAAAGCCUCCCCCCAAAAUUCGGACAAUUCUAUCCAACCCCUCUGAAAUUUAUCAGGCCUCUCUAUGCAACCAUAGAAGAGACAAUGCUAAAAUAAGUAAUCGGAGGGGGCAGCCCCUCUCCUCGCACGCGUGUAACUCGGAAAUGGACUAGCCACCGAAAUUUAACGGCCCCAAUAAAAGAGGGUCAUGACCUAAGAACAGAAGAACAAGAAAAACAAUCUGCAAAAACCGUUAACCCUACACUGGAGUGCCAAAAGGAAAGACUCAAAGGGGAGGAAGGAACUCGGCAAACAUAAGCCUCGCCUGUUUACCAAAAACAUCGCCUCUUGCUAACAAAGAAUAAGAGGUCUCGCCUGCCCAGUGACUUUAUGUUUAACGGCCGCGGUAUCAUGACCGUGCAAAGGUAGCGCAAUCACUUGUCUUUUAAAUGAAGACCCGUAUGAAUGGCUCAACGAGGGCUUAACUGUCUCCUUCCCCCAGUCAAUGAAAUUGAUCUCCCCGUGCAGAAGCGGGGAUAAACCCAUAAGACGAGAAGACCCUGUGGAGUUUUAGACACAAAACAGCCCUAAGCACACCCCCGCACUAAAGCAAUGCCACAGGCCCCUGUUCCCAUGUCUUUGGUUGGGGCGACCACGGAGCAUACAAAACCUCCACGCGGAAUGGGAAUAACCCCCCUAAAACAAGGGCCCCCGCCCUAGUUACCAGAAUCUCUGACCUCAUGAUCCGGCAAAGCCGAUCAACGAACCAAAUUACCCCAGGGAUAACAGCGCAAUCCCCUUCCCGAGACCUUAUCAAAAAGGGGGUUUACGACCUCGAUGUUGGAUCAGGACAUCCUAAUGGAGCAGCUACUAUUAAGGGUUCGUUUGUUCAACGAUUAAAGUCCUACGUGAUCUGAGUUCAGACCGGAGUAAUCCAGGUCAGUUUCUAUCUAUGAUGUGGUCUUUUCUAGUACGCAAGGACCGAUAAGACGAGGCCUAUGUUGAAGACACGCCCCACCCUCACCUAAUGAACACAACUAAACUAGACAAGAGGACGCACCCCCAAUGCCCGAGAUAAUGGCAC